UGGGGAAUAUUGCGCAAUGGGGGGAACCCUGACGCAGCCAUGCCGCGUGAAUGAAGAAGGCCUUAGGGUUGUAAAGUUCUUUCGGUAUUGAGGAAGGUUGAUGUGUUAAUAGCACAUCAAAUUGACGUUAAAUACAGAAGAAGCACCGGCUAACUCCGUGCCAGCAGCCGCGGUAAUACGGAGGGUGCGAGCGUUAAUCGGAAUAACUGGGCGUAAAGGGCACGCAGGCGGUUAUUUAAGUGAGGUGUGAAAGCCCUGGGCUUAACCUGGGAAUUGCAUUUCAGACUGGGUAACUAGAGUACUUUAGGGAGGGGUAGAAUUCCACGUGUAGCGGUGAAAUGCGUAGAGAUGUGGAGGAAUACCGAAGGCGAAGGCAGCCCCUUGGGAAUGUACUGACGCUCAUGUGCGAAAGCGUGGGGAGCAAACAGGAUUAGAUACCCUGGUGGUCCACGCUGUAAACGCUGUCGAUUUGGGGGUUGGGGUUUAACUCUGGCGCCCGUAGCUAACGUGAUAAAUCGACCGCCUGGGGAGUACGGCCGCAAGGUUA
rnacentral:rRNA from 1 species